rnacentral:rRNA from 1 species
UGGGGAAUCUUAGACAAUGGGGGCAACCCUGAUCUAGCCAUGCCGCGUGUGUGUUGAAGGCCCUAGGGUCGUAAAGCACUUUCGCCUGUGAAGAUAAUGACGGUAGCAGGUAAAGAAACCCCGGCUAACUCCGUGCCAGCAGCCGCGGUAAUACGGAGGGGGUUAGCGUUGUUCGGAAUUACUGGGCGUAAAGCGCGCGUAGGCGGAUUGGAAAGUUGGGGGUGAAAUCCCGGGGCUCAACCCCGGAACUGCCUCCAAAACUGCUAGUCUUGAGGACGAGAGAGGUGAGUGGAACUCCGAGUGUAGAGGUGAAAUUCGUAGAUAUUCGGAAGAACACCAGUGGCGAAGGCGGCUCACUGGCUCGAUACUGACGCUGAGGUGCGAAAGCGUGGGGAGCAAACAGGAUUAGAUACCCCCGUAGUCC